CGUUGGCAUCUCAGGUAGCACUGCAGGCCUGGAAGUGGCUUUAAAUAGAGCAGCUGCCCCGAAUUUCAUUAGGGAAUGUAGGGAUGUCCAUGAGACAAGUGCCGUUACAGUCCCUGGAGAUGGAAGAAAAACUAGAGGGAGAGAGAGACUCAGCUCUCCCUGUGGCACAGUUCUCCAUUGGGUCAGGUGGAUGCCUCUACAGGCUGCCCUGAUCCUACUGAGGAGGGACAGGUUUAGUUGUCCUAAAUGGGUGCAUUUGCUGUCAUUUCAGCUGGCCAAAGGCAUUCCUCACCAGCCUCUAAGGGGAUGCUCCCAGGUGCUGCCCUGUCCCUCAGGGUUUCUCCAUGAGAGCUUGCAGAUGCCUGCACGUACCUCUGCCCCCUGACCUGUCACCAGGUGUUUGCAGCCCCCUGAUUUCCUCCAUCUCCAUUAAUGAUCCUGGAGCUCACCUGCAGCUGCCCACAUGGUGCACAUCAAAGUGAGUACAGAGGAAUCCCAGGUCCUGUGGGUUUGUGGCAGGCAUGGGAGGGAUCUGAGUCCCAUUCGAGCCCCAGGACAAAAACCCAGCAUGAGAUGUUGGGUUAUCUGGCUGUGCUGAAUCCCUUCCAUAAGCAGGGGGUUAAAGGAGGUCUAUGACCGUGUCUGGGUGUCCCACCAUCAACUGGCAUGAGAAGAGAAGACUGCUACAGAUAAUAAUUUUUUUGCUAAGAGAAAUGAGCCAAAUGUCAAGAGGUGUGUGUGCCAGGUCUUCAGGGCCGUGCUGAGGAUGCCCUCUGAGAAGGGCCAGCACAAAGCCUUCUCCACGUGCCUCCCUCACCUGUUUGUGGUCUCCCUGUUUGUCAUCACUGGACUUUUUGCCUCCAUGAAGCCCUCCUCAAUCUCCUUCCCAGCCCAGGACCUGAUGGUGUCAUUUCUGUACUCAGUGAUGCCUCCAGCAGUGAACCCCCUCAUCUACAGCAUGAGGAACCAGGAGCUCAAGGGUGCCAUUAGGAAAAUGAUUUCAGGGAUGUUUCUGAAAAGUGAUAAAUUACCACUUUUUCUCCACAAAUGACUUCCUGGGUACUUGUUUCAUGAUCAUUAUUGUUACAUUUAUCUUUGUUGUCAUUCCCAUUCAUUAGUUUAUUAGAUUUAUUUAUUUUUAAUAUGUAUAUCUACUGUACACUGAGGAAUGAAACUGCUUUUUUAGUACUCUCUCUUAGCAUCUGCUUAAUAAAACAGGAUCUCCCCAACA